UACGUAGGGGGCAAGCGUUGUCCGGAUUUAUUGGGCGUAAAGAGCGUGUAGGCGGCCUGACAGGUCUGCUGUGAAAACUCGAGGCUCAACCUCGAGAUGUCGGCGGAAACCGUCUGGCUAGAGUCCGGAAGAGGAGAGUGGAAUUCCUGGUGUAGCGGUGAAAUGCGCAGAUAUCAGGAAGAACACCUAUGGCGAAGGCAGCUCUCUGGGACGGUACUGACGCCGAGACGCGAAAGCGUGGGGAGCGAACAGG
rnacentral:rRNA from 1 species